CAAGACCAAAUAGAUUAACAUCAUCACCAUGCCAAACACUCAUGAUUAUCUAACAAGACAACAUAUUAACAUCUGAGGAGAUUAGAUGAUUGCGUAGGAUGAGGAACCCCUGCCGAGCGAGGGAUCCGUGUCCUGGAGAGUAAACGCAGAGGUGUUUUAACAGUAAUAUAUCCAGCACUCACCUCCAUCCGUGCGAUGUGUGUUUUUAAUCAGCUGUGAGAGUGUGUUUGUCAUUACUCCGGCCCAAUGAAACACAGAUGUUGCAUCUAGGGAUGAGCGCUCGUGUGAUAAAAGGAGAAACUUGAUGCUUGGAGGAGGAAUAAAGUGUGAAAGGAGGAUGUUUUCCAGAUCUG